CCCUAUGGGGCGCAGCAGGCACUGCAACAGGCUCACGGAGUAAAGUUCAAGGCUGCGGAGCUUCUCGGAAUCAGCUUCCGUUCCUUCCGGUACCGCCUCCUCAAGUAUGGGCUCGACACGGGGGAAGAUUAGAUGGUCCCGGGGCAGCCUGCCCUGGUUUCGGGUCACCCCGCAUGCAGACUCGCCCACGGACUUUCGAGCGUAUAGCCAGGUCUUCCGUGCCCAAUGCUGUUGACUCAACGUCACCCCGGCGAAAACCGGGGUCCAGAAAGUCCUUAUUUUCCUGGAUUCGAGCUUUCUCCGGAAUGACAAAAGUUGGUUCAGUCAACAACAUUGUCUUACAUGCCUACCCGGCAAACAGGGUGAGAAUCAGGCUGUAAGUGAAAGCGGAGAUCAGGGUGAAGAUGGAUACGCUCGUAGCCGCCAGCUCGGGAUGCCCACCCAGCUCCAUUGCCAUGAUAUAGGUGACGGUGGCGGGGGAGC
rnacentral:rRNA from 1 species